rnacentral:lncRNA from 1 species
GUUCAGGGAGCAUUUUGAAGAGGGCGUGCUGGUGGAAUGGAUGUCAUCCCCGAAGUUCAGAGCACUCACAGAGCCUCCAGGAAUCAGGGAUCAAUUCUCUAGUCCUGCCUUUGAUGUUCCUUGUUGCAUUUACUUUUAGUCACUUGCCCUGAGAAGGUCACGGGUAGAGGGAGAAGAGACAGACUAUAAAGCUGUCAAUCCUUAUUUGUCAAUAACUUUGCAAAGAGUUUGAAUGUUGAGAGAAAGUUGAGUCUCGGGUUAAAACGACUUGGGGGCUUAUGUGUGGCUUUCACUUACCCUUUACGGGUCUGCAGGUGCCUGAGCAUUGCCUGUGUGUGUCCUGCACACCCUCCUGUCCCCGAGUGCCUCGGAGAUGGGCUCCCAGAGGGCAGAACCGCCAUCAAAGCCCGGCUGGCCUCCAGCUCAGAUGGAGUCAACGAUCUAUUCCCUCCUCCCAGUGAAAUCACAGUCUGAUGCAAACUUAGGAGAGGAGAAGCCUGCAUGACACAAACCGGAGAGAACUUCUUCUGAACAGCAGAUCUGUGACGGGAAUCUGGACGCUCCUACAGGCUCUUCAGUUUCACUGUGCAAGAGGACACGCAUUUUAUUUGCAAACCAAGUCUUCAUUUAAAAGGGUAAGGCACACCUGUUCCUCCUCUCCCCGUGGUCUGGUCUCUGAACACAACUUUCGCUCAUACUGAUUCAUUUGGCCAAGUUCUAAAGAUCUAUUUCCCAGUAUCAGCAUCUUCUCUGCCAAGCUAGAUACACACACAUAGGUAUUUAUUUUUUGGAAAAGUAAAACUUCAGUAGUCAUGAAAAACAGGAGGCCAACCUGCUUAAUAACCUAACGAUAUGAAUAGAAUUUCUCGCCAAUUUCAAAAUGAGUCUGACCUUUGCCCGGGGGCGUGUGUGCCAGGGAUGAAGGGCUGU